GCAUGGAGGACAAACAGUUUUGGAGCGUGUGGUGUGUGGUCAGGUCUCGCUGCUGUGACAAUGUCAUUCAAGAAGUGGACAUUCAAUCAUUUGCAGGCGUCAAAGUGGUCAACACAGUCGUCCUCAGUAUCAGCCCAAAGACUAGUAGAACAUCUUAGGUGUAUUGCUGCCCUCCACAUGCUAUUAACAGAAUGUCCUCCUUCUGUCCUAUGGCCCACACUACAGACUUGGACACAAGAGGUCAAAAGAAAAUGUAUGCAUUCUUUCUAACGGCCGCUGGGUGGCAGCAGAGGCUCCAUGUAUUACCUGAAGAAACAUUUGACUUCUGACCUUUCCACAUUAUUUAUCUCAUCUUUACUGCUGGAGUUCAGCUCACUGAGGAUGUUAGCUCCAUUUUGGUAUUUUAAUUAUCUUGAAUUAUUCAUAAACAGGCUUAAAACAAACCAUUAUUGUCAUUACUGCCU